rnacentral:rRNA from 1 species
GAGUUUGAUCUUGGCUCAGGAUGAACGCUGGCGGCGUGCUUAACACAUGCAAGUCGAACGGAGGUAGCAAUACCUCAGUGGCGCACGGGUGAGGAACACGUAGCUUAUCUGCCCAGAAGUGUGGGAUAACGCUCCGAAAGGAGUGCUAAUACCGCAUAAGCUCCCGGGUUAUAGAGACCUGAGAGAAAAGGGGAAACUACGCUUCUGGAGGAGGCUGCGGCCCAUCAGGUAGUUGGUGCGGUAACGGCGCACCAAGCCAACGACGGGUAGGGGACCUGA